UACGGGGGGUGCGAGCGUUGUCCGGAAUUACUGGGCGUAAAGGGCGCGUAGGCGGCCUUCUAAGUCGAACGUGAAAUCCCCGGGCUCAACCCGGGAACUGCGUCCGAGACUGAAAGGCUCGAAUCCGGGAGAGGGAUGUGGAAUUCCAGGUGUAGCGGUGAAAUGCGUAGAUAUCUGGAGGAACAUCGGUGGCGAAGGCGGCAUCCUGGACCGGUAUUGACGCUGAGGCGCGAAAGCCAGGGGAGCAAACGGG
rnacentral:rRNA from 1 species